UCAAUUUUGGAAAUUCUCAAUCAUUUUAUCUUUAAAUAUUGCUUCUACUCUAUUUUCUCUCUUCUCUCUAGGACUUCAAUAACAAGAAUUAGAGCUUCUCAUGGUAUUGUCUAUGUCUCUUAAAUUAUUUGCUUGAUUCUCCAUUGUUUUAUGUCUCUCCUUCAUCUAGAUAUUUUCUUUUGACUUAUGUUCUAGUUAGCUUUCUAAUUUUCUUAUCAACUGUGUAAUCUCCAUUAAGGUGAUAUUUUUCAGUUCCAGAUUUUCAUUUACUUUUGUAGUUUCCAGCUCUCUGCCAAAGUGUCCAAUCCUGUAUCUUACUUCCUUGAACAUUAGCCUGAUUCUCCUGAACUCUGUUUUUAUCAUCUAUUGUUUCUUUGGAUUUGUGGGCAUGUCAUCUUGGCUACUGAUACAUCUGGUUAUUUAUGAGUACAUGCUAGCCAUUGAUUUGAAAAUUGUAAAAACAAUUUGAAGUCUAAGAUGCUAUCUUCUCUCAGAGAGGAUUAACCUUGGUUACUGGCAAGUGGCCAGAAGCAGUAGAGAUAAAGGAUCGAGAUAAAGGAUCACAUUAAUUCCACUUCAGAGAUGAUUUGAAGUUAGACUUUUGUUUCUGUGAAGAGUGGUCUACUUCUCAUUUACUCCCUUUGGCCAGAGCCUUGGGGUUAAAUGGAGAUAAUGAUACCACCAAUUUCAUAGGGCAAUAAACAUUCAUGUAAAGCACUUAAGCACAGUGCUUGUAUACAGUCUCUGCUUAAAACUGUUAGUUAAUAUUGUUAAGAAUCAAUAGAGGAAGGUUGGGGUUAUGAUUCUACUACGAAUUUACUUAAUUAUUCAGGGUAAGUUGUGGACCUUCUCUAAGCCUCAGUUCCUUCAUUUGCAAAAUGAGAAAGUUAGAUGAAAUGACUUCUAAAGUCCCUUUAAGCUCUAAAAUUUUAUCACCAUGCAAGUCUUAAAGAGAAUUGCAAACUCAUUCUGCCUUCUUCUCAACCCAAUCCAUCAGGAAUAUUUGUUACAAAAAUAUGUUAUCAGGAAAAAUAUAACUUUCCUGGUAAUUUAUAGGGCUAUAUGCAGGGCAGUUUGGGUUGAUAGCUUAGUGGAGUUAUCACUCCACUAAGAGUGAUUGUUCUUCAGAUCAUUAAAUUAUUAAAACAAUCACACACUGAUAUGGCUGCUGUGCUUCUACUGUUUUGUUUGAAAGACAUUCAUUAACAGAGGUAGAAAGACCAAGAGAUAUCUGUGAAAGGUUAAGGCCAUGUUUCUCCCUAGUGUGGAUUAACGUUGUCUUUCACAACUGCCAUACUUUGUUUAGUAAUGAAAAAGUGGAAAUCUUACUUUAAAAAGAUAAUUUUUUAAAUAUUAGACUUCUUUUUGCAUUCAAAGCUAAAGUGAUGCAUAACUUUAAUUAUAAGAGAAUUUCAAAAUCGUUCUUUAAUUCUACCUUAUCUUCCUGUCUACAGAUUCAUAAUCUACAUGUUCUUCAUGUGUAGUCUCUACUAGUUCAGAAUCAAAUAUGUCAAUUCUAUUGUACUAUUUAGAGCAUUACAUGGCAGUGACAUCAAAUUAGCAUAUAUAUUAUUUUCUUCACUUUGACUAUGUUUAAAAUGUCGCUAAGAUUUUCUUUGUCUUAGCUAUAUUAAGGAAAAAUAUAGCCAAAGAAUGUUAGUUACCAAAUCCUUAAUGCCUGUUGCUUGUUUUUAAUCUUUUAACAGAAAUAUUGACAAUAUACUCUGAGUCAGAACAUAAAGAUGUUAUCCAAAAUUCUCUUAGUAGUAUAUACAGCUUUCCAGACUACAUAUCUCCAAGAAAAAUCUUGGAUUACUUUAAACAUAUAAUUCAAGAAUCUGAAAAAUGUUCUUACCUUAAACAAUUUAAACAAAUGCGAUUUUGUGAGUUUUUUGGUGGAUAUCGUCUCAGUGGACUCAAGGACAAUCUCACUUUCUCAUCCAUCUCCUUGUGAUAAAAUGACAGGCAUUUCAAGAGAUAAGAGGCAGGCUGCUGCCCACUCAAAAGCAUCAUUCCACCCAUCAGGCAGAGCGCCCAAAUUAAGGAUCGUAGCAAUUACACACAAGCAACAGCAUGGAAAAGAAGCCAGUGCUGCAGAGGUGAUCUGGAUCCAGGAAGAAAGGGAAGAUACCUUCAAUCAAAAAUUUCUGGAGUUACAAAUGCAUUUCAACAAUGAUCAAGUCAUGCUGCAACAGGCACAGAGAACAAAUAACUGCAAGAAGAAAUUGCUGAACUUAGAUCUGAAAUCCCAGCAUUAACAAAAAAGCAAGUGGAGAGGAACCCCUCUGUUGAUGGGCCCACCAGAAAAAAAAAAUCUCAGGAGAAAGAUUUGCGAUGGCUUUUCCCAGAAGAUCUACUUUGAGAAUCACUAUUGGGCCCGCAUGUGAGUGGCCUGGUUCCGAGAAAGGUGAUCAAUUACAUUCCUGGUCCUGAUUUUGUUGUGUGUCCUCCACAGAUGAUGUCAUGUUGUUACUGCUACUCCUCUGGCUAUUUGACCAAUGUCUGUCAGGUUUCUAGAUAACGUGUUUCCAUAGCCUACGCCUUCUGCCUUGGAUGGGUAUAAGUCGGUUGCUAACAUCAAAGUGUCAUAGAGUUGUUGUGUUACAACGUGAGAGACUCCAAAUGGCAAGGGGCCAGUGCUUGAAGUUUUCAGACACUUUCUGUGAUGCUGAGCUGGAAGGAGGGCACA